GGUUGGUCCGAUGGCAGUGGGUUAUCAGAACUUAUUAACAUUAGUGUCCCUAAAGUUGGUAUACCACCCCCCCACUGCUAAAUUUGACUGGCUUAAA
ensembl:misc_RNA Y_RNA Y RNA